rnacentral:rRNA from 1 species
AGCGAACGCUGGCGGCAGGCUUAACACAUGCAAGUCGAACGGGCACUUCGGUGUCAGUGGCAGACGGGUGAGUAACACGUGGGAACGUACCUCUUGGUUCGGAACAACACAGGGAAACUUGUGCUAAUACCGGAUAAGCCCUUACGGGGAAAGAUGUAUCGCCGAGAGAUCGGCCCGCGUCUGAUUAGCUAGUUGGUAGGGUAAUGGCCUACCAAGGCGACGAUCAGUAGCUGGUCUGAGAGGAUGAUCAGCCACAUUGGGACUGAGACAAGGCCCAAACUCCUACGGGAGGCAGCAGUGGGGAAUAUUGGACAAUGGGCGCAAGCCUGAUCCAGCCAUGCCGCGUGAGUGAUGAAGGCCUUCGGGUUGUAAAGCUCUUUCGCACGCGACGAUGAUGACGGUAGCGUGAGAAGAAGCCCCGGCUAACUUCGUGCCAGCCGCCGCAGUAAAAC